GGUUUCGUGGUGUAGUUGGUUAUCACGUCAGUCUAACAUCUCGAGAGCUUCGCUUCUCGUCUGGUCCACUGAAGGUCUCCAGUUCGAGCCUGGACGAAAUCA